AUUAUUGCAUUGAAGAAAUGAGUAAGUUGAUUCGCCUGGCCAGAGAGUUGCUAUAUGCUGAGAAGCAAUCAGUUUGAAUCAGCUGAAGAUGGUUUUGGAGCAAUGAAUUGUUGAAUUAAUUUCAACAGUUCUGGGAGUGCCCAUUAUAGCAUGAGGUAUCUGAACGGGUACCUAUUGAGGAAAUUUGAUGUGAGUCAAAUUUCAAAUUUUAGGUGGUAAAGCGGAUUUUCGCCCUGAUU
rnacentral:ncRNA from 1 species